rnacentral:rRNA from 1 species
AGUGAACGCUGGCGGUAGGCCUAACACAUGCAAGUCGAACGGCAGCACAGUAAGAGCUUGCUCUUACGGGUGGCGAGUGGCGGACGGGUGAGGAAUACAUCGGAAUCUACUUUUUCGUGGGGGAUAACGUAGGGAAACUUACGCUAAUACCGCAUACGACCUACGGGUGAAAGCAGGGGAUCUUCGGACCUUGCGCGAUUGAAUGAGCCGAUGUCGGAUUAGCUAGUUGGCGGGGUAAAGGCCCACCAAGGCGACGAUCCGUAGCUGGUCUGAGAGGAUGAUCAGCCACACUGGAACUGAGACACGGUCCAGACUCCGACGGGAGGCAGCAGUGGGGAAUAUUGGACAAUGGGGGCAAGCCUGAUACAGCCAUACCGCGUGGGUGAAGAAGGCCUUCGGGUUGUAAAGCCCUUUUGUUGGGAAAGAAAAGCAGCAGGUUAAUACCCCGCUGUUCUGACGGUACCCAAAGAAUAAGCACCGGCUAACUUCGUG